rfam:Ovis aries breed Texel chromosome 4, whole genome shotgun sequence.
UCCCUGGUGGCUCAGACGGUAAAGCAUCUGCCUGCAAUGCGGGAGACCCGGCUUCGAUUCCUGGGUCGGGAA